CCGAGUCAGGGUCUCUCAGGCCCGAAACUCCAACCCUAUGUUUAUUUACCAUGUUGCUUUGGCGGGCCCGCCUUCGGGCCGUCGGCGGUUCGUAACCGCUGAUCCGCGUCCGCCAGUAGCCUAAACAAACUCUUUCUAACUAUGAUGUCUAAGUCGAAUGAUAAAUCAUUUA
rnacentral:misc_RNA from 1 species